rnacentral:rRNA from 1 species
AAAUACUCUCUAGUGACCGAUAGUGAACCAGUACCGUGAGGGAAAGGUGAAAAGAACCCCGGGAGGGGAGUGAAAUAGAACAUGAAAUCGUAAGUUUACAAGCAGUAGAAGAGCGACUUAACGCUCGACUUCGUGCCUGUUGAAGAAUGAGCUGGCGACUUGUAGGUUGUGGCAAGGUUAAGAUAAGAGAAUAUUGGAGCCAUAGUGAAAGCGAGCCUGAUAAGGGCUUUCAGUCAUAAUUUACAGACCCGAACCCGGAUGAUCUAACCAUGGCCAGUGUGAAGCUUAGGUAACACUAAGUGGAGGUACCAACCGACUGUUGUUGAAAAAACAGCGGAUGAGUUGUGGUUAGGGGUGAAAUUCCAAUCGAAUCCGGAGCUAGCUGGAUCUCCCCGAAAUGCGUUGAGGCGCAGCGGUUAAUGUUUCUUCUUAGGGGUAAAGCUACUGUUUUGGUGCGGGCUGCGAGAGCGGUACCAAAUCAAGGCAAACUCUGAAUACUAAGACGUUUAGUUAACCAGUGAGACAUUGGGGGAUAAGCUUCAAUGUCAAGAGGGAAACAGCCCAGAUUACUAGCUAAGGCCCCUAAAUAAUUGCUAAGUGGUAAAGGAGGUGGGAUUGCAGAGACAAUCAGGAGGUUUGCCCAGAAGCAGCAAUCCUUUAAAGAGUGCGUAAUAGCUCACUGUUCGAGUGGUCCUGCGCCGAAAAUGACUGGGACUAAGCAAUUUGCCGAAGCUGUAAGAUGUCAAAACAUCGGUAGGGGAGCGUUCUACAUUAGUUUGAAGCGUUAACGGAAGUGGGCGUGGACGAAGUAGAAGUGAGAAUGUUAGCUUGAGUAGCGAAAACAUUGGUGAGAAUCCAAUGCCCCGAAAACCUAAGGGUUCCUCCGGAAGGCUCGUCCGCGGAGGGUGAGUCAGGUCCUAAGGUCAGGCUGAAAAGCGUAGUCGAUGGAUAACAGGUUAAUAUUCCUGUACUGUUUAUUGUUGGUAAUGGGGGACGGAGAAGGCUAGGCUGGCCGAAUUUUGGUUAUCGGUUUAAGUAUUCAAGGUGUUGAGAACUGGCGAAAACAGUUUGAGCUGAGAUACGAAUAGGAAAGUACUAAGGUACUCAACCAGUGGAUGUCAUACUUCCAAGAAAAGCCCUAACUACCAUAAGCAAUAAAUACCUGUACCCUAAACCGACACAGGUGGGUAAGUAGAGUAUACUAAGGGGCGCGAGAUAACUCUCUCUAAGGAACUCGGCAAAAUAGCCUCGUAACUUCGGGAGAAGAGGUACCCUUAAUUGGGUUGCAAGAACCAGACGCUGGCGACUGUUUAUCAAAAACACAGGGCUCUGCUAAAUCGAAAGAUGAUGUAUAGGGCCUGACACCUGCCCGGUGCCGGAAGGUUAAGAGGAGAGCUUAGCGUAAGCGAAGGUUUGAAUUGAAGCCCCGGUAAACGGCGGCCGUAACAAUAACGGUCCUAAGGUAGCGAAAUUCCUUGUCGGGUAAGUUCCGACCUGCACGAAUGGCGUAACGACUUCCCCACUGUCUCCAGCAUCGACUCAGCGAAAUUGAAGUCCCCGUGAA